rnacentral:rRNA from 1 species
AUUGAACGCUGGCGGCAUGCCUUACACAUGCAAGUCGAACGGCAGCAUGGAGAGCUUGCUCUCUGAUGGCGAGUGGCGAACGGGUGAGUAAUGCAUCGGAACGUACCGUGUAAUGGGGGAUAACGUAGCGAAAGUUACGCUAAUGCCGCAUACGACCUGAGGGCGAAAGCAGGGGAUCGCAAGACCUUGCGUUAUACGAGCGGCCGAUGGCAGAUUAGGUAGUUGGUGAGGGAAAGGCUCACCAAGGCGACGAUCUGUAGCGGGUCUGAGAGGAUGAUCCGCCACACUGGGACUGAGACACGGCCCAGACUCCUACGGGAGGCAGCAGUGGGGAAUUUUGGACAAUGGGGGCAACCCUGAUCCAGCCAUGCCGCGUGAGUGAAGAAGGCCUUCGGGUUGUAAAGCUCUUUCGGCCGGGAAGAAAUCGCACAGGCUAAUACUCUGUGUGGAUGACGGUACCGGCAUAAGAAGCACCGGCUAACUACGUGCCAGCAGCCGCGGUAA